AACCCCGGGAGGGGAGUGAAAGAGAACCUGAAACCCUGUGUUUACAAGCUGUGGAACUGCUAUAUAUGCAGAACCGCGUACUUUUUGUAGAACGGUCCGGCGAGUUACGCUUACUGGCGAGGUUAAGUACCAAAGGUAUGGAGCCGAAGGGAAACCAAGUCUUAAGAGGGCGCCAUAGUCAGUAGGAGUAGACCCGAAACCGGGUGACCUACCCAUGUCCAGGAUGAAGUUGCCGUAAAAGGCAAUGGAGGUCCGAACACACAUCCGUUGAAAAGGGUGGUGAUGAGGUGUGGGUAGCGGAGAAAUUCCAAUCGAACCCGGAGAUAGCUGGUUCUCCUCGAAAUAGCUUUAGGGCUAGCCUCAAUUUAGUCUUGCGGAGGUAGAGCACUGAAUAUCCUAGGGGGCGUCAAAGCUUACCGAAGAUUAUCAAACUCCGAAUGCCGUUAAGAUGAUGAUUGGGAGUCAGACUGCACGAGAUAAGUUGGGUAGUCAAAAGGGAAACAGCCCAGACCUCCAGCUAAGGUCCCAAAGUGAGUGUUAAGUGGAAAAGGAUGUGGGAUUUCGAAGACAACUAGGAUGUUGGCUUAGAAGCAGCCAUACAUUCAAAGAGUGCGUAAUAGCUCACUAGUCGAGAGGUCCUGCGCCGAAAAUGUCCGGGGCUAAACACUACACCGAAGCUGAGGAAUGAUUUAUCAUUGGUAGAGGAGCAUUGUUAGCGAGACGAAGCUGUACCGGAAGGAGCAGUGGAUUACUAAGAAGAGAGAAUGCCGGAAUGAGUAGCGAGAGUGAGGUGAGAAUCCUCACGGCCGAAUAUCUAAGGUUUCCAGGGUAAAGCUGAUCUGCCCUGGGUUAGUCGGGGCCUAAGGCGAGGUCGAAAGACGUAGUCGAUGGAUAACAGGUUGAUAUUCCUGUACUACAAUAUAUCAGAACUGUGGGGACACAGACAGAAAGCCAGAGCCGGGAAUGGAAAGACCGGUACAAGCGAGGUAGGAGUAAGGCAGGCAAAUCCGCCUUACAAUCUGAAGACGUGAUGUGUAGCGAAGUUAUAAGUAGCGAAGCUGGUGAGCUGGCUGUCAGGAAAAGCCGCUAUUGUGUAUAUUGUACCCGUACCGUAAACCGACACAGGUGGAUGAGGAGAGAAUCCUAAGGCCGACGGAAGAAGCAUUGUUAAGGAACUCGGCAAAAUGACCCCGUAACUUCGGGAGAAGGGGUGCCCACUUCAGGGUGGGCCGCAGAGAAUAGGCUCAAGCAACUGUUUAGCAAAAACACAGGUCUAUGCGAAACCGAAAGGUGAGGUAUAUGGGCUGACGCCUGCCCGGUGCUGGAAGGUUAAGGGGAGAGGUUAGCGCAAGCGAAGCUUUGAACUUAAGCCCCAGUAAACGGCGGCCGUAACUAUAACGGUCCUAAGGUAGCGAAAUUCCUUGUCGGGUAAGUUCCGACCCGCACGAAAGGCGUAAUGAUUUGAGCGCUGUCUCGACAAUGCACCCGGUGAAAUUGAAAUACCAGUGAAGAUGCUGGUUACCUGCGCCAGGACGGAAAGACCCCAUGGAGCUUUACUCUAGCUUGAUACUGGGAUUCGAUAUUGUAUGUACAGGAUAGGUGGGAGACUAGGAAACGGGAACGCCAGUUUUCGUGGAGUCACCCUUGGGAUACCACCCUUGCAGUAUUGGGUUUCUAACAUGCAGCCGUUAUCCGGCUGGUGGACAAUGUCAGGUGGGGAGUUUGACUGGGGCGGUCGCCUCCGAAAGAGUAUCGGAGGCGCUCAAAGGUUCCCUCAGAAUGGUCGGAAACCAUUCGCAGAGUGCAAAGGCAUAAGGGAGCUUGACUGUGACACCGACGGGUGGAGCAGGUACGAAAGUAGGACUUAGUGAUCCGGUGGUAUAAAGUGGGAUUGCCAUCGCUCAACGGAUAAAAGCUACCCUGG
rnacentral:rRNA from 1 species